rnacentral:miRNA from 1 species
GAUGAUCAUCGAGGGCCUGGUGGCCUGGGAUAACAGCACUUCUCAUGCACUGGGGUCUUGAUGGGCAUU